GCGCCCAUCGUCUAGCGGUUAGGACACCGCCCUUUCACGGCGGUAACAGGGGUUCGAUUCCCCUUGGGCGUA
rfam:Mesorhizobium ciceri biovar biserrulae WSM1271, complete genome.